rnacentral:rRNA from 3 species
AAAUUGAAGAGUUUGAUCAUGGCUCAGAUUGAACGCUGGCGGCAGGCCUAACACAUGCAAGUCGAACGGUAGCACAGAGAGCUUGCUCUCGGGUGACGAGUGGCGGACGGGUGA